GAUAAAUGCUGGCGACGUGCCUUAUGCAUGCAAGUCGAACGGUCGCCUUUGGCGACAGUGGCAAACGGGUGAGUAAUACUUAGGAAUCUACCCUCUGGUGGGGAAUAGUCCGCCGAAAGGCGGAGUAAUACCGCAUGAAGUCUUCGGAUUAAAGGGCGUAACUGCCCGCCGGAAGAGGAGCCUAAGUCCUAUCAGCUUGUUGGUAAGGUAAAAGCUUACCAAGGCGAUGACGGGUAGGGGCGCUGAGAGGCGAGACCCCCACAAUAGCACUGAGACACGGGCUAUACACCUACGGGUGGCAGCAGCAGGGAAUAUUGCGCAAUGGGCGAAAGCCUGACGCAGCGACGUCGCGUGAAGGAUGACGGCCUUCGGGUUGUAAACUUCUUUUAGUCGCCAAUAUCGGCGGCAGAAUAAAAACCGGCAAACUACGUGCCAGCAGCAGCGGUGAAACGUAGGGUUUAAGCAUUAUCCGGAUUUAUUGGGCGUAAAGAGUAUCGUAGGCGGUUGGGUAAGUAGUUGGUUAAAGCCUCCGGCUUAACUGGAGAAAGGCUAACUAAACUACCUAACUAGAGAAUGCUAGGGGAUGCUGGAAUUCCUAAUGUAGGGGUGAAAUCCGUAGAUAUUAGGAAGAACGCCAAGGGCGAAGGCAGGCAUCUGGGGCAAUUCUGACGCUGAUGAACGAAAGCUAGGGGAGCAAAAGGGAUUAGAGACCCCUGUAGUCCUAGCCGUAAACGAUCCUCGCUAGAUUCUGGUUCUAUCGGAGUCGUAAGCUAACGCGUUAAGCGAGGCGCCUGGGGAGUACGAUCGCAAGGUUG
rnacentral:rRNA from 1 species